CAGGACAGGUGCUCAAUAUAGCUGCACUCAAGAGGCCUUUCAAAUCCUCCACAGAGCCCAGUGUUCAGCAGUGGCACACUGUGCCUCUUUAAACUACAGCCGUCACGUUAGGCACUGGGAGGGAAGAAAAUAGCUCCAAGAUGCUUCUACAGUAUUCUUUGACAGUGUCUUUCUUCACCUGAAGAAGCAGGAGGUUACCAAAAAGAUAUCCUUUAACUUUUGGCAUGCGGUUAGUCCUGGUGGAAUGGGUCAGAUUGCCAGCUCUGAAGUCCAGAUUCUUCUGCUUGUCCCCAGAACAGGCAAUGGAAGUGCUCGAGCAUCUCCAUAUUGUCCUACCAAUGUGCUUCAGCUAUGACAAAGAGGUACGACCAUUGAAGGGGUUCAGGUAGUUCAAUCUUCACA